UCGCGGUGAGUUUCUAUUUCUUGGUAAUUCGGUUUGUGAAAUGACUAUUAAUUACAAGCACAGCAUCAUCAACGGUGAUUGCAAGAACUACUGCAAUCCCUGCGGUUUUUCCUCUUGGUAAAUGCGUUCUGGUCGUGACCAAGGGUGGUCUCUCAAUCGGCCGGGAAUAAGGCUAUUGUUGCAGAACAAAACGCCACAACCACUGAUGUG